rnacentral:rRNA from 1 species
CUUGAACGCUGGCGGCAGGCCUAACACAUGCAAGUCGAACGAGUGGCGGACGGGUGAGUAAUGUCUGGGAAACUGCCUGAUGGAGGGGGAUAACUACUGGAAACGGUAGCUAAUACCGCAUACCAUCAGAUGUGCCCAGAUGGGAUUAGAUUGUUGGUGGGGUAACGGCUCACAAGGGCGACGAUCACUAGCUGGUCUGAGGGGAGGACCGUCCACACUGGAACGGAGACACGUUCCAGACUCCUACGGGAGGCAGCAGGGGGGAAUAUUGCACAAUGGGCGCAAGCCUGAUGCAGCCAUGCCGCGUGUAUGAAGAGGGCCUUGGGGUGGUAAAGUACUUUCAGCGGGGAGGCGUUACCCGCAGAGGAAGCAACGGCUAACUCCGUGCCAGCAGCCGCGGUAAUAC